rnacentral:rRNA from 1 species
UACGUAGGGUGCAAGCGUUGUCCGGAAUUAUUGGGCGUAAAGAGCUCGUAGGCGGUUUGUCGCGUCUGCUGUGAAAACUCGGGGCUUAACCCCGGGCCUGCAGUGGGUACGGGGCAGACUAGAGUGCGGUAGGGGGAGACUGGAAUUCCUGGUGUAGCGGUGAAAUGCGCAGAUAUCAGGAGGAACACCAGUGGCGAAAGGCGGCUCACUGGGCCCCGAUACUGACGCU